rnacentral:rRNA from 1 species
AUUGAACGCUGGCGGCAUGCCUUACACAUGCAAGUCGAACGGCAGCACGGGAGCUUGCUCCUGGUGGCGAGUGGCGAACGGGUGAGUAAUACAUCGGAACGUACCCUGAAGUGGGGGAUAACGUAGCGAAAGUUACGCUAAUACCGCAUAUUCUGUGAGCAGGAAAGAGGGGGAUCGCAAGACCUCUUGCUUUAGGAGCGGCCGAUGUCGGAUUAGCUAGUUGGUGAGGUAAAGGCUCACCAAGGCGACGAUCCGUAGCGGGUCUGAGAGGAUGAUCCGCCACACUGGGACUGAGACACGGCCCAGACUCCUACGGGAGGCAGCAGUGGGGAAUUUUGGACAAUGGGCGCAAGCCUGAUCCAGCCAUGCCGCGUGAGUGAAGAAGGCCUUCGGGUUGG